AACUUGGAGAGGCUGGACCCUGGGGCAUGUCUACGAAGGAGAAACCAUGCAGCGUCCUUCUACCCUGUCAGGCCUGGAACUGUGAAUGGACCGAAGACCAGUGGGGCCUUCAGCUACUGGCCUGGACCCUUGGAAGCAAACUUGUUUUUCUGUGAUUCACCAGAAACUCUCAGGAUGAGAGUAUCUCAGUCUUCCAAGGUUUGGCUUCAUUGA
ensembl:processed_transcript AY512915 cDNA sequence AY512915